rnacentral:lncRNA from 1 species
UUUAGUACUCAAUAAGUUGCAUACAGAAAUGGGACCAAAUAGUACAAGAUUACUUCAUUCAAACGGCAUUGUCUUGAAUUGCAGCUUGUUCUACUUGUUGGCACAAAGUUGCAACAUAUAAUAGCAUCAUGGACCAAUUAUGCUGGCCCCUAGCGAUAUUUAAUGUAACUCACAUAUGGUAAACACAUAAUAUUAAAAUGGACAAAAAUUAGCCACAAUAUGUACUGAAAUAAAUCCCACACCUGAGACUUGAGCUUUGAAGUAACUGCGAGAAUUUAAAGUUCACGUCCUAGUCGCACCGCACCUAGUCAAAUAAAUAAAUAAAAAUAUAAAGGCCUAACUGAAUUUUAAAAUAAUACUAAUAGUAGUUUAAAUUUUAAGAAUUUAUUAUCAUAAAACCCUUUAAAAAUCAUUGGUCUAAUAGAUUAAUAGUAAAAUAUAUUUUGUUAUGAAAAUGUGGGUUGAUAUUUAAAAUCAAAUGCAAUUGCAACCUAUUUAGAAAGAAAUCUGCAGCCCAAAGUAAUUAAAAUGAUGCCCAAAUGCUUAAAUGUAUAUGGGCCCAUUGACAAAUUAAAAUCAAACUAGGCCCAACCCAUUAUUUCAAAACCCCCAAUUUAAACCUACACCUACACACAACUCACGCACACCACACACACAAGCCUCACUCCACUCCCUCCCCUCCGUCGCCGGAGGCCGGCGAUUCUGCCUCACCUUUGCCAUCUUCAACCUCUCUCCCUCAUCUCUCCCCAUCCUCCCUGUUCUUCCCUCACUGCCCCCAGCCGCAGCCGCAGCCGCAGCCCCUCCCCCUUCUCCGGCGACCCUCGCGCCGCCUGUCACCACCUUCUCCUGCCCGGCAGCAGCGCCGCCAUCGCCGUUCUCGCGACAGCAGCAACCGCCCAGUCACCUCCUCCCUCUUCCCGGCCGGACAGCGCAGCAGUGGCCGAGACCACCGCGCCGCCGCCUCUGCACAUGUAGCGGCGUCGUUGCUCCGGCGAGCAACUUCUCACCCCAAUUCAUCCCAACUCCCUUAUCAAUCUAAGUUUCUAAAUCUGAGUUUCUUGUAAAAUUCAGUGAAUAUGCAUUCUAUUUCUAUUUCUUAUGAAUUACAAACACUAGAUUUAAUGAUGUGUGUAUGCAUGUUUGGAUUUGGAAAUUUUGAUUUUGGGCUGAAAUUGGAGAAACGAUUGAGAUGCUGAAAUAAAAUUACAUAAGCUCUGUACAAGAAUUAAAAUUACCACUUGAAUCGAAAGCAACAGAACAAGAAGUUGAUUGCUGGGUUUUGGUGGUGUUUUCAGAAAAUGAGAGUUUAAUAAGCUGAAAUGAGGCGGUGGAGUCUAGUAGAUAAACUUUAAAUGGAAUAAAUUUCAUGAUGCAUAAGAUAAGACUAUUAAGUAAAAAUGAUGCAAAAAAAACAUGUGGCUGAGGAACAAAAAUGAAAUCGCUG